UGUAGAUGAAAAGACUAUUUCUCUUUCCAUUCGGAUUUGGAUUAGCGGAAGAUAGGUUAAGGUGACCGGACAAUCUUCCAAGUAUUUGAAUAUAUGAGAAAUGUAUGUUGAAGGAGCUCAAGAUGCCGGCUUAGGGUUACAAAAGAUUGAUGUUGAGAGCAUGAGGUACCAUUUCUUUGUAAACAUAGUGUUAUUUGUGAGUUUUUUUUUUUAAUGAGAAGCGUGUGCUUUGUUACCAUCAUUGCAACCAUGGUAUCCGGCCAGUGAACCUUCAUGUUAAUAUAUCUGCACAUCGGUCUCGUCAUGAUAUGCUUCCUCUAUGCGUCAAAAUCGAUUUUCUCAAUAUGAAUUCCAGCGGUCAGGCCAGCUCCUAGGUAUGUUCGCCCAAGGAUGGUUUGUACUUUUUUGUUUACUGGACGCGUGGCAGGUUUUUAACAGCACCAUGUGGCCUCAUGGAUGUAUGUCAGGUGUUGGGUUAUUCAUAUAAACACAAGAGAAAGAAGAGAAAGUGAGAGAACAAAAAAUAUAAACUUAAGAGAGAGAAUCCGACCGACUGUUUUACAGCAACGACUAACAGCGCCUCUGAACGACGACGACUAGGGUUACCGGGAUGUCCAGAGGAGGCGAAGGUGUUUCGCAGAGGGGUUUUGGUUCAACAUGGCAUCGACGACAACGGAGUUUAGGGUUCCGACGACCAUUUUGUUAGAACGGAGACAACAGUGCCAGUUUAGGCGUCGACCAACCCUCCGACGAAGUUCAGGUAAGCCUGCCUUUGACGUUUUGACCUGUACCAAAAUGACUCGUCUGAAAUUGAUUAUAAUGUUUAAAACACUUUAAAGAAGAUAAAAAGUAUUAAAAAACCAUAUUUAUUAUUAUAAUUUACAAGUAAAUAUAAUUAUAUAAAAUUUAGUAAUAUCAAAAUUUAUAUACGAGGUUCCAAAAAAGGUGUUUGAUUAAGAAGCCAAAUGUGGAUUGUUGGUAAAAAUGGGUUCGAGUGCUUUAUUUGUGGACUGUAGCGUUUUUCGUUACAUACACAGCCUUAUAUCUCUUUUUUUUAUUAAAUGCCAACUUUGAGAGAUCUAAGUAUACUUGAAACAGGUACUAUCAGAUAUUCUUUUCUUGUAUCAUAUGUAAAAGGUCAUAUUAUUUGAUAUGAAAAUAUUGUUUUAUAUAUUUUAUAUAUGCAACAUUGUUUGCUCAAGUGGGUCUUGAAGCUGCUUUCUGAAGUAGCAUCAUUCUUUGCUAAAAGGCCAGGUCAGUGACAAUUACAUUUAGAUCACAUGAGCCCAGUGAUGAUUACUGUUUUCGUUUUUGUAGGUACAAGCUUAUCUUUAUGGUGGAUACUAGGAAGAUAUUGGAUUCUUGAUGCUAAUAUCAUAUAGUAUUAUCGGUGGAGGGUGUCGGAAUAAGGUAGGCGAUGGAAGGUAUACAUGUGAAGGCAACAGCAAUACGAAAAAGACUAGGUAUCCGGAUGCAAGAAAUGGAAAUGAAGAAAACAACUUUUGCGAUCUAUGUAUAAGCGAAAUACUAUAUGAAAACCUAUGUGCUUCUCUUAAUUGUAAAACAUAUCAACAUCCUUUUGUAUCAACUUUAUUAGUGCAAGGAAAAUUUCAAACUGA